UCGUUGCAUGUCGACCACCUCUGCGUCUGCAUCUUUCAUCACCAGCAGCCCCGCCAUCACGCCAUCACACACACACACACACGCGCGCGCACAACUCUCCUUCUUGCUGUUCUUUACUUUUUGCGCACUCGCUUGAUGGCCGCGUGCUUCGCGUGUCCUCAUCAUCUCCAAACUACAUCGCCCUCUUCUGCCGUGGGCUUCUCCUCCAUACUCUUGCCGGCUGUGUGCACUCGUGCGUGUGCGUGUCGCGAAGUGCUCACAGCGCCUCCGGGGUCGCACUGGCUCCGCAUCCGCAAGCGGCAACACCACACGAAAACCAAACGAAAAGGGAAGUCCCCUCUACCUCUCGCCUUUUGUAGCUCUCUCUCUCUCCCUCCGCCCCCGCCCCCCUCUCUCCCUUUUGACUCGCACCCCUUCCGCCGGAGAUCGUCGGCUUUGGUGCUUCCGGCCAGCGAACCUCUAUCGAUCGAUCCCGCGCACUGUCUUGUCUUGUCUCUCCAACGCUCUGCUCCUCGCUGAGCUCCCCUCGCCUUCCCUUCCUCCGUCUCGUCUGUGUCUUCUCUUCUUCCGUCCACGAACAUGCUCUCGAACCGUUUUGACGUCGGCCGCAUAGAAACGUAAGACGUCGUGCACGUGUGCAUUUUUUUUUGCCUGUGUAGGCACGUUCGAGCGUGUGCCUCUGCCCCUGAUCCCUCCUCGUCCUUUCUGUAGCCCUCUCCGCUCGCCGCGGUGAGAGUGAACACGUCGCGCCGUUGCUUGCGGCGUUUUGUUGGCGACGCUCAACGCCGUGCCGCCCCCUCCCCCCUUUACCUUCUUUUCUCGUAGUUGCCGUCUCGUAGGAGCUGUUCCUUCACGUGCACUGUGCCUUGCCUGGAGCAUCAGUCGCACUCAUGCGCUAGUCGGUGCGCAUCGCAAAUAGUGCGCAUUCUAGUAGCAGUGGACUCCUGUCCCGUUAGCAGUAGACUGUAUGGGCCUCACGUAGCGGUGCUCGGGACGACGCCGGAUACGUGCGCCACCUCUUCAGCCGUUGUGUGUGUGUGUGUGUCUGCCCUUCAGCGGCAGCAGCACUUGUGCCCUCAUUCGUUUUUGUUUUGUGUUGUGCCCGCAUUUGCUCUUCCUCCGCCUCUGCUUGGUCUCGCAUGCGCGACUACUUGCUCAGCUUCUCAUUUUAUUGUGUGCCGUAUCCUGUGCGUACCAGUCGGACCGAAUCCCCGCCUCCGCUCAGCUGCCCGUCCCUGCGAUAUACUCCUCGCAUUCUGCGUCUCUGGUAUGGCCUGCGACUCUCGCCUCCGCUCCCGCUUCUCACCCAGCGACGCUCCUCCAGACACGCUAGCGGUCGAUGCGAUCGACAGCUGUUUCUCCCAUGCUGUCACACUUCUCAUGGAAGCGCAGCGUGCUUGUGCUUUCUGGCGUUGGUGCCGUCUCUACGCGCGUGAGGCACAGCGAUGGGGCGGGAGUGCGUCGGUGCCGUUUGCUUUAUCCGUGCAUCUCGCUCGCCAGUAGCAUGUCAUGUCACCUAACCUCGACGCGUAAGCUGUUCGGCCACUGGGGGAUUUCAAAAUCAGGGCUGACGACUACGGACGGCCAGAACCCAACAGCAGCAACGUGCGCGGACUCCAGCGCAACGGAAUCGGACACUUCUUUGACCGCUGCACAGGUAUCUGCGCUGACAAGCGAAGCUCAGCAGCUCCGCCAGCAGGUGAGCGAUCUCAAGGGGGCCCUAGAGAAUAGCCAAGAAGCUCUCAAGCAGCUCUUAAUCUUGUCCGCGUCGAAGACGCCGCAUCCAGCGUGGGGAGCCGCCGCAGCGGCACAUGCGUCGGCACCCGCGGCUACUACCGCCUCUUCUUCAGUGCCAUCUCUGGAUGGCCAUCAGCACCGACAAGGCACCUGCUGUGUUGUGCGCACGAGCGAGGAGCUCAUGAGCGCCCUGCGCGGACACGGCAGCGAGCGCACCUCGCUCACGGUGCUGCUGAACGGGAAGCUGUUCAUCCUCGACCCCUACGCCCCUGUUGUAGUCAACCGAACACGUGUGUCCAUUGUAGGAAAUAACGCUAUCAUCAUUGGGCGAAUCGCCGUGAAAGGCCGCGGCGCGCUGCUGUCCGCCUCGGAUGUCUUCUUCCUGGAACUAGGCGACAUGCAGCUCCGGAGCGUGAGCCGUGACGGUGGCGACGAGGUCUCCACUACUGCUGCUGCUGCUGAGGCGACGGCGCCGCUCUUGAUCAACCCAAGGGGCCGAAAGGAGAAGGGUGCUACCGAGUUUCUCAUGCCGGUCGUCAGUGCCACCGUUGGCGCCGGUGUACACCUGGACCGCUGCACGCUGAGCAGCGGCCGAGAUGGCGUCUACCUGGGCAUGGGCAGCCACUGCACCCUCAACCGCGUACGUAUCGUGAACUGCAUCCGCGGGUUGUAUGAGGGUGUUGGCUGCCGUACCUCAAUGCUGUCGGCGUGCACGUUCCAGUCCAAUCGGUAUCAUAUGGUGCUGCUGGGGCCCAACAACGCUGAACGAGCCGCGCGGGUGUUCUGCGGAGCGUCGGGCACUCGCACUGCGGCGGUGGCGAGCCCGAGCGCUGCAGCGGACACGGAGGGGCCAGCUUACUCGGUGGUGUUCACGAGCGCUGCCUCGGCUGCAGACGUCCUCGCGCCCGGUUUCACCAGCGACGGUGCCAUUGCGACGCAGCAGACGAAGGCACAGGUGGUGCUUCAGCAUUGCCCUAUCACAGACGUUUACAGCGACUGCUGGUGCGACGGGGCCAAGGUGGAGCUGUCUGCGCAAGACGCGACGGCCGGGCUCAGUGACCCUCUCUUCUAAGCCGUGCCUGCGGACGCACACUCGAACCGGCAUGAUCAUGUGGUCGAGGGAGGCUUCUGCAUGUCUGCACAGAUGUGUAGGGGAGCUGCCACGACACACGCGGGUGUCUUUGGUGGCUUGCGUCGAUUGUUUGCCUGCUAGUGCUGCUGCUGCUGCUGCUACUGUUGGCGCUGGCUGUCCACGACGAACGCCGCCCCCGGUCGGAAGAAACG
rnacentral:misc_RNA from 1 species